UGGGGAAUUUUGCACAAUGGGCGCAAGCCUGAUGCAGCGACGCCGCGUGAGGGAUGAAGGCCUUCGGGUUGUAAACCUUUUUCGCUCAUGGUCAAGCCGCAGCUUUGGGUUGUGGUGAGGGUAGUGGGUAAAGAAGCGCCGGCUAACUACGUGCCAGCAGCCGCGGUAAUACGUAGGGCGCGAGCGUUGUCCGGAUUCAUUGGGCGUAAAGCGCUCGUAGGCGGUCUGUUAGGUCGGCAAGUUAAAUCCGGGGGCUCAACCCCCGUCCGCUUCCGAUACCGGCAGACUUGAGUUUGGUAGGGGAAGGUGGAAUUCCUAGUGUAGCGGUGGAAUGCGCAGAUAUUAGGAAGAACACCGGUGGCGAAGGCGGCCUUCUGGGCCAUAACUGACGCUGAGGAGCGAAAGCUAGGGGAGCGAACAGG
rnacentral:rRNA from 1 species